rfam:Pseudonocardia sp. EC080619-01, complete genome.
CUUGAGCGAGCCGACCCACAGCGGGCGGUCCGGGUCCCGGUCCUGCCCAUAGGUGGCGAGCAGGGCGCGCGCCUC